GAUGAACGCUGGCGGCGUGCCUAAUACAUGCAAGUCGAGCGAACAGACGAGGAGCUUGCUCCUCUGACGUUAGCGGCGGACGGGUGAGUAACACGUGGAUAACCUACCUAUAAGACUGGGAUCACUUCGGGAAACCGGAGCUAAUACCGGAUAAUAUAUUGAACCACAUGGUUCAAUAGUGAAAGCCGGUUUUGCUGUCACUUAUAGAUGGAUCCGCGCCGCAUUAGCUAGUUGGUAAGGUAACGGCUUACCAAGGCAACGAUGCGUAGCCGACCUGAGAGGGUGAUCGGCCACACUGGAACUGAGACACGGUCCAGACUCCUACGGGAGGCAGCAGUAGGGAAUCUUCCGCAAUGGGCGAAAGCCUGACGGAGCAACGCCGCGUGAGUGAUGAAGGUCUUCGGAUCGUAAAACUCUGUUAUUAGGGAAGAACAAAUGUGUAAGUAACUAUGCACGUCUUGACGGUACCUAAUCAGAAAGCCACGGCUAACUACGUG
rnacentral:rRNA from 1 species